rnacentral:rRNA from 1 species
UUAAGUUAGAAAGGGCGCACGGUGGAUGCCUUGACACUAGGAGUCGAUGAAGGACGGGACUAACGCCGAUAUGCUUCGGGGAGCUGUAAGUAAGCUUUGAUCCGAAGAUUUCCGAAUGGGGAAACCCACCAUACGUAAUGGUAUGGUAUCCUUAUCUGAAUACAUAGGGUAAGGAAGACAGACCCAGGGAACUGAAACAUCUAAGUACCUGGAGGAAGAGAAAGCAAAUGCGAUUUCCUGAGUAGCGGCGAGCGAAACGGAACAUAGCCCAAACCAAGAGGCUUGCCUCUUGGGGUUGUAGGACAUUCUAUACGGAGUUACAAAGGAACGAGGUAGACGAAGCGACCUGGAAAGGUCCGUCGUAGAGGGUAACAACCCCGUAGUCGAAACUUCGUUCUCUCUUGAAUGUAUCCUGAGUACGGCGGAACACGUGAAAUUCCGUCGGAAUCUGGGAGGACCAUCUCCCAAGGCUAAAUACUCCCUAGUGAUCGAUAGUGAACCAGUACCGUGAGGGAAAGGUGAAAAGCACCCCGGAAGGGGAGUGAAAGAGAUCCUGAAACCGUGUGCCUACAAAUAGUCAGAGCCCGUUAACGGGUGAUGGCGUGCCUUUUGUAGAAUGAACCGGCGAGUUACGAUCCCGUGCGAGGUUAAGCUGAAGAGGCGGAGCCGCAGCGAAAGCGAGUCUGAAUAGGGCGUUUAGUACGUGGUCGUAGACCCGAAACCAGGUGAUCUACCCAUGUCCAGGGUGAAGUUCAGGUAACACUGAAUGGAGGCCCGAACCCACGCACGUUGAAAAGUGCGGGGAUGAGGUGUGGGUAGCGGAGAAAUUCCAAUCGAACCUGGAGAUAGCUGGUUCUCCCCGAAAUAGCUUUAGGGCUAGCCUUAAGUGUAAGAGUCUUGGAGGUAGAGCACUGAUUGGACUAGGGGUCCUCAUCGGAUUACCGAAUUCAGUCAAACUCCGAAUGCCAAUGACUUAUCCUUAGGAGUCAGACUGCGAGUGAUAAGAUCCGUAGUCAAAAGGGAAACAGCCCAGACCGCCAGCUAAGGUCCCAAAGUGUGUAUUAAGUGGAAAAGGAUGUGGAGUUGCUUAGACAACUAGGAUGUUGGCUUAGAAGCAGCCACCAUUUAAAGAGUGCGUAAUAGCUCACUAGUCGAGUGACUCUGCGCCGAAAAUGUACCGGGGCUAAAUACACCACCGAAGCUGCGGAUUGAUACCAAUGGUAUCAGUGGUAGGGGAGCGUUCUAAGGACAGUGAAGUCAGACCGGAAGGACUGGUGGAGUGCUUAGAAGUGAGAAUGCCGGUAUGAGUAGCGAAAGACGGGUGAGAAUCCCGUCCACCGAAUGCCUAAGGUUUCCUGAGGAAGGCUCGUCCGCUCAGGGUUAGUCAGGACCUAAGCCGAGGCCGACAGGCGUAGGCGAUGGACAACAGGUUGAUAUUCCUGUACCACCUCUUUAUCGUUUGAGCAAUGGAGGGACGCAGAAGGAUAGAAGAAGCGUGCGAUUGGUUGUGCACGUCCAAGCAGUUAGGCUGAUAAGUAGGCAAAUCCGCUUAUCGUAAAGGCUGAGCUGUGAUGGGGAAGCUCCUUAUGGAGCGAAGUCUUUGAUUCCCCGCUGCCAAGAAAAGCUUCUAGCGAGAUAAAAGGUGCCUGUACCGCAAACCGACACAGGUAGGCGAGGAGAGAAUCCUAAGGUGUGCGAGAGAACUCUGGUUAAGGAACUCGGCAAAAUGACCCCGUAACUUCGGGAGAAGGGGUGCUUUCUUAACGGAAAGCCGCAGUGAAUAGGCCCAAGCGACUGUUUAGCAAAAACACAGCUCUCUGCGAAGCCGUAAGGCGAAGUAUAGGGGGUGACACCUGCCCGGUGCUGGAAGGUUAAGGAGAGGGGUUAGCGUAAGCGAAGCUCUGAACUGAAGCCCCAGUAAACGGCGGCCGUAACUAUAACGGUCCUAAGGUAGCGAAAUUCCUUGUCGGGUAAGUUCCGACCCGCACGAAAGGUGUAACGAUUUGGGCACUGUCUCAACCAGAGACUCGGUGAAAUUAUAGUACCUGUGAAGAUGCAGGUUACCCGCGACAGGACGGAAAGACCCCGUGGAGCUUUACUGUAGCCUGAUAUUGAAUUUUGGUACAGUUUGUACAGGAUAGGCGGGAGCCAUUGAAACCGGAGCGCUAGCUUCGGUGGAGGCGCUGGUGGGAUACCGCCCUGACUGUAUUGAAAUUCUAACCUACGGGUCUUAUCGACCCGGGAGACAGUGUCAGGUGGGCAGUUUGACUGGGGCGGUCGCCUCCUAAAGUGUAACGGAGGCGCCCAAAGGUUCCCUCAGAAUGGUUGGAAAUCAUUCGUAGAGUGCAAAGGCAUAAGGGAGCUUGACUGCGAGACCUACAAGUCGAGCAGGGACGAAAGUCGGGCUUAGUGAUCCGGUGGUUCCGCAUGGAAGGGCCAUCGCUCAACGGAUAAAAGCUACCCCGGGGAUAACAGGCUUAUCUCCCCCAAGAGUCCACAUCGACGGGGAGGUUUGGCACCUCGAUGUCGGCUCAUCGCAUCCUGGGGCUGUAGUCGGUCCCAAGGGUUGGGCUGUUCGCCCAUUAAAGCGGUACGCGAGCUGGGUUCAGAACGUCGUGAGACAGUUCGGUCCCUAUCCGUCGUGGGCGUAGGAAAUUUGAGAGGAGCUGUCCUUAGUACGAGAGGACCGGGAUGGACGCACCGCUGGUGUACCAGUUGUUCUGCCAAGGGCAUAGCUGGGUAGCUAUGUGCGGAAGGGAUAAGUGCUGAAAGCAUCUAAGCAUGAAGCCCCCUCAAGAUGAGAUUUCCCAUAGCGUAAGCUAGUAAGAUCCCUGAAAGAUGAUCAGGUUGAUAGGUUCGAGGUGGAAGCAUGGUGACAUGUGGAGCUGACGAAUACUAAUAGAUCGAGGACUUAACCAU